GAUGAACGCUGGCGGCGUGCCUAAUACAUGCAAGUCGAGCGAAUGGAUUAAGAGCUUGCUCUUAUGAAGUUAGCGGCGGACGGGUGAGUAACACGUGGGUAACCUGCCCAUAAGACUGGGAUAACUCCGGGAAACCGGGGCUAAUACCGGAUAACAAUUUGAACCGCAUGGUUCGAAAUUGAAAGGCAGCUUCGGCUGUCACUUAUGGAUGGAACCGCGUCGCAUUAGCUAGUUGGUGAGGUAACGGCUCACCAAGGCAACGAUGCGUAGCCGACCUGAGAGGGUGAUCGGCCACACUGGGACUGAGACACGGCCCAGACUCCUACGGGAGGCAGCAGUAGGGAAUCUUCCGCAAUGGACGAAAGUCUGACGGAGCAACGCCGCGUGAGUGAUGAAGGCUUUCGGGUCGUAAAACUCUGUUGUUAGGGAAGAACAAGUGCUAGUUGAAUAAGCUGGCACCUUGACGGUACCUAACCAGAAAGCCACGGCUAACUACGUGCCAGCAGCCGCCGUAA
rnacentral:rRNA from 1 species